rnacentral:rRNA from 1 species
UACGUAGGGUGCGAGCGUUAAUCGGAAUUCCUGGGCGUAAAGCGUGCGCAGGCGGUCUUGUAAGUCAGAUGUGAAAUCCCCGGGCUUAACCUGGGAAUGGCAUUGGAAACUGGCUCGCUGGAGUGUGGCAGAGGGGGGUGGAAUUCCGCGUGUAGCAGUGAAAUGCGUAGAGAUGCGGAGGAACACCGAUGGCGAAGGCAGCCCCCUGGGCUAACACUGACGCACAGGCACGAAAGCGUGGGGAGCAAACAGG